UAGCAUCACGUGAAGAUUGAACUUAGGUGAGAUCAAAUGAAUAAUGCUUAUUGAACAUUGAAUUAAAACAACAAAAUGCACAUUAUCAUAGCCCAAAAAAAAAAAAUUUGUUAGUCCGAAAAUUAACUAUUUAUCAAAGACGAAUACAAUGAUGGGGAGUGCAAUCAACUAGCAGACCAUUUCAUCUACAGUUUAGACCAACAAGGACCUACAGACAGCAUCUACCAAAAAAGGGUUGAUCAUGCCAUUCAAAGUUGACAGCAAGAGGUAACAAAUGCAAAGAAAUUACCAUAAUCCAUCCAUGAAAAUACUAAAGUUAUGUGUCUCAAUCACAGCGGCAAAAAACAGCAUACAAAACCACAAAAUGCCUACAUUAAAUAGAUGUUCGGGCAUUCCACAAACGUGGUGCGUGCAACAACAUAUUAAAGCAGGUGGACAACCAAUUGCAUCACCAAGACUACCGGACCCAAAAAAAGUUUGCUCAAAAUUUGAUGACCAUCAAUUACGUGCCACCAAACGGAGCAAGCAAUGGCAGCCAACCGAAACAACCACCAGCAUAAAUUCAUGUACAACAACCAAGCAGGACGAGAGAUAUAGAAGCAAUAAAAUAAUCCAAACUCUUUCUAUGAAGAACUAGAGAACUAGUCCUAGCAUUUAACGAAAUAAGCAUCCGAAGAAAUCCUAUAUAGCAACCUUUUAAGCUCAAUGGUUUUGAAUUUCCCGUGGAUUUAGAAUGUCAGAGAUCAUUUCACAUGCCAGAACGUCAACAAUUGAAAAGAGGGAGAGAGAGCACAAUGAAACAAUAUAGAACAUAACCUCCAAAACCAAUUGAAUCACCAAGGCUAAUGGAACCAAAAAAAAGUUUGCUCAAAAUUUGAUGACCAUCGUUCACAUGUCAUCAAAUGGAGCAAGCAAUGGUAGCGAACUAAGACAACAACCAGCACAAAUCUAUGUACAACAACCAAGCAAGAUGAGAGAUAUAGAAGCAAUAAAAUAAUCCAAACUCUUUAUAUGAAGAACCAGAUAAAUAGUCUUAGCAUCUGACGAAAUAAGCCUCCAAAGAAAUUCUAUAUAGCAACCUUUUAAGCUCAAUGGUUUAGGAUUUCCCAUGGAUUUUGUUUGAUUCUGGCCAUGCACAUUUCUUUAUUUCAGUUAGUUUUUCUAGAGAAUUACACUGCAUACCUAAGAAUAGAGGUAUGAUUAAUUUCGAGGAUGAAAUUUAUUUAAGAGGGAAAGAAUGUAACAUCCGGGCCUGAUACUAACUGGGCCCAAUACUUCUGAGGCCCAGUUUAAGGGUAUUUGGGCUCGGUCGUUAAUGGGGCCGUAUUGGGCCCAUGGAUGGCAACCCUCACCUCACGCCUGAGGACUGAAGUGACAGGCCCCCGCUGGCCAAUAGGGGGGAAGACCAGCUGUUGGGCCCUCAUCCAUGCAAAAUGGGAGUCUGCCGCCUCACCCAGGUUGAAAGAACAAGCCCAGCUGGCCUGAGGGAAAGGGCAUCUGUAGCCUUCCGGAGCAAGGAGGAAGGAGAGGGUGCCGCCUCUCCAAGGGUCACCUCCUAAGCAGAGUUCAUUUAAACUCUCAGUUUCUUAACUUAGGAGUUACCAUACCCUCUUAUUCUUUAGCCCUCUCGAGUACUGUACCAGAGAAGCCGAACCCUAGAGCAAGGUAUGACCUGAUUUACUUAAAUGGGUUUAAAGAAAAUAAAAAGAGGGAAAGUUCCUCUGUGGAAUGUUUCUCCCCUCUGUUUCAACAGUAAAACAGAGGAAAAAAGACUCUGGCACAGAGAUGGAAGAAGAAAUACCCUGUACUACCUUAUAUGAUACACAGCAAAUAUUUUAAAUAUAUGACAGUUUGACAAGUUUGACUACCCUGUUACCCAUGUAUGAGGCUUCGUGCUAUUGUGGGCGGUGGUCGGCAAUAGCACGGCCAUGUCACGGAUCCGGGUCCGGGGCGUGACAUAUGUCACUUCAGUUGUGGAUAUGAUAAAAACAAAAAAGGGAACAGAAAUACUUUGAACACAACUGCAAUUAAUAUAACUUAUGACGUGAAUGCUUUAAGGCCUGUAGCAUCACGUGAAGAUUGAACUUAGGUGAGAUCAACUGAAUAAUGCUUAUUGAACAUUGAAUUAAAACAACAAAAUGCACAUUACCAUAGCCCAAAAAAA